AUUGAACGCUGGCGGCAGGCCUAACACAUGCAAGUCGAGCGAGCGGCGGACGGGUGAGGAAUGUCUGGGAAACUGCCUGUUGGAGGGGGAUAACUACUGGAAACGGUAGCUAAUAUCGCAUACCAUCAGAUGUGCCCACAUGGGAUUAGCUAGUAGGUGGGGUAACGGCUCACCAAGGCGACGCUCCCUAGCUGGUCUGAGAGGAUGACCAGCCACACUGGAACUGAGACACGGUCCAGACUCCGACGGGAGGCAGCAGUGGGGAAUAUUGCACAAUGGGCGCAAGCCGGAGGCAGCCAUGCCGCGUGUGUGAAGAAGGCCUUCGGGUUGUAAAGCACUUUCAGCGGGGAGGCGUUACCCGCAGAAGAAGCACCGGCUAACUCCGUGCCAGCAGCCGCGGUAAUUC
rnacentral:rRNA from 1 species